rnacentral:rRNA from 1 species
CGCGUAGGUGGUAGUGCAAGUCUGGGGUGGAAUCCUAUGGCUUAACCAUAGAAUUGCCUUGGAAACUGUAUUACUUGAGUCAGUGAGGGGAGGGUAGAAUUCCUGGUGUAGCGGUGAGAUGCGUAGAUAUCAGGAGGAAGGCCUGUGGCGAAGGCGGCCCUCUGGCGCUGAACUGACACUGAGGCGCGAAAGCGUGGGGAGCAAACAGGAUUAGAUACCCUGGUAGUCCACGCCCUAAACGGUGGGCACUAGGUGUAGGGCUCGUAAGGGUUCUGUGCCGAAGCGAAAGCAUUAAGUGCCCCGCCUGGGGAGUACGGCCGCAAGGUUGAA